rnacentral:rRNA from 1 species
GAUGAACGCUAGCGGCAGGCCUAAUACAUGCAAGACGAACGGUAAGUUGAGUAGCAAUACUUAGCCAAGAGUGUCGUACGGGUGCGUAACACGUAUGCAACCUACCCUAUACAGGAGGAUAGCCUAGGGAAACCUGGAUUAACCCUUCAUAGUAUUAUUGGAUGGCAUCAUUUGAUAAUUAAAACUGAGGUGGUAUAGGAUGGGCAUGCGUCUGAUUAGUUAGUUGGCGGGGUAAUGGCCCACCAAGACGAUGAUCAGUAGGGGUUCUGAGAGGAAGAUCCCCCCACACUGGCACUGAGAUACGGGCCAGACUCCUACGGGAGGCAGCAGUAGGGAAUAUUGGUCAAUGGAUGCAAGUCUGAACCAGCCAUGCCGCGUGCA